rnacentral:tRNA from 1 species
AAGAUUUUAAGUUAAAAAAAACUAAAAACCUUCAAAGUUUUAAAUAAAAUUUAUAUUAUUUUAAAUCUUA